GACGAACGCUGGCGGCGUGCUUAACACAUGCAAGUCGAACGAGAGCGUAGAGAAAGCUUGCUUUUUCUACAAUCUAGUGGCAAACGGGUGAGUAACGCGUAAACAACCUGCCCUACGGAUGGGGACAACAGCUGGAAACGGCUGCUAAUACCGAAUACGUUCCGAAAGUCGCAUGACUAUCGGAAGAAAGGAUGGCCUCUAUUUAUAAGCUAUCGCCGGAGGAGGGGUUUGCGUCUGAUUAGCUAGUUGGGGGGGUAACGGCCCACCAAGGGGACGAUCAGUAGCCGGUCUGGGAGGAUGAACGGCCACAUUGGAACUGAGACACGGUCCAGACUCCUACGGGAGGCAGCAGUGGGGCAUCUUCCGCAAUGGGCGAAAGCCUGACGGAGCAACGCCGCGUGAGUGAAGACGGCCUUCGGGUUGUAAAGCUCUGUUAUACGGGACGAAUAAUCUUGUGGUUAAUACCCAUGAGAAGUGACGGUACCGUAAGAGAAAGCCACGGCUAACUACGUG
rnacentral:rRNA from 1 species